UUGGGUCGUGCUCAAAUCAGAAGGGAAAAAAAAUCGCGUGCCUUCUCUUUCGGUGCUCUCUCUCUCUCUCUCUCUCCCAAAAAUCGCAUGCGUCGGAGGAGAAUCAAAGAGGGGGUUUAGGUAUAUCGAAAGGCGAAUCGAAGAGGAUGUCUCCCGGAAACCGCAUGCAUCAACAGCUCAAAAGACUAUGGUGGAGCUGCCUUCUCCAGGUUCGAUUCAAUCAACAGUAGCAGAGACUUUGGAGGUCCCUCGCUUUCAAGAUUCGACUCCAUGAAUAGCACAAAGGAUCAUGGAUACUCGUUUGAUGAUGCAGACCCGUUUGGUUCCACAGGUCCAUUCAAAGUCUCCUCGGAUGAUCAAAGCCCCAAGAAAAAGUCAGAUAACUGAAAUUCCUUCUAGCCACAGUAUGGUUAUAAAUCCUCUUCUUCCACAUGUGUCCUCUCUUGAUGAACUUGUGAUUGUUUCAUAAAAAUCAAUAUUUUUUUCUCACAAAUUCUGGUUUUUGGAUGAGACAAUAGCUUUAGACUAUUAUUAUGUAAAGUUUUGUCUUUGUGGGUUUCCUACUGUAUCUCUGUUCUGUUCUUAUGAAUUCAUUUGCUUUGUCAUAAAAACAUUUGAAGUGUGUACAAGAUUUUCUUUUUUCUCCAAUGUCCUUGACGUUGGAUUUGAAAUAAGGGUCGUUGGAUAUGUGGGAGUUGAUAGAUUUAUCCACGCAUUGCAUUAACGCCAGAGAUUGUGGAUUCAGUUUGAAGAGAAUCUCCUCGAGGAGAUGAAAGGGAUAAUGAUGCUCUUAGACCAGUAUAUGUUUUGGCUAUCGCAAGUGAUGCUUGUCAAGAUAACCUGCAAGUACAGCUAUUAGACAGGCGGAUAUGAGAUCAAGAGCAUGCCUCGAAAAUAUGAACUUUUUCUUUUAAAAGAUUGGGGACUCAGAAUGAGUAACUUUUAUUCUUUCCUUCAUUCUUAUAAGUCUUGUAUUACAUUGAAAGCAUUGUACAACAGAGUUUACAUGCCCAUUUG